CAACUUUCAAAUGCUUUAUUCUUUAGUGUUUAAAACGUUUUAAUACAACAAAGUUAUAAAAUAAUAUAUUAGUAGAUCUGGAUUUAAUUUAGAAUCAGGUAUUUACUUAUGUACAACACUGUGCUUCAAGGCAUGGCUACCACAGGGACUUUCAUAUCUUCAAGUAACACUAGUUUCUCUGUGGGCAGGAGACCUCUAGGUAGAAUUCUCAAAACUGAACAUGCCUGGUUUAGUCCAAGCAACCUGCUUCCUCAUUGAGUACCAGUUUCAUUUCCUUUGUUCCAUAUCAGAAAUAUUUCAUUAUCCUAACAAUCCAUGAAUUCAAUGAAAAAUUAUUAAAAUUAAACACUUUAAAGAUGUUAAUAACAGGCUCCGUUUAGUUCUUCAGACAAUCCAGUAGUUCAGAUUAAAAGAGAUGUAAAGUAACAAUGAAAAAAAAAAAACAAAAAACAAUAGAACAUUCCUUCUCCCAUCAAAGCACAGGCUUCCUUAUGCAGACACAGGGAACACACAGAACAAAGAGUCCUUUGAUUAACACAGAGUACAAUGUAUCCUCAACUUAGUGUAGCCGGAGAAAUAGCUUAGACUUCAUAGACAUCUGUACUGAUCUUGAUACAGUAAUUCAUCAUAUUAGUCAUGUGAAAUUAGUGCCACUGAAUUUACCAGCAAGCCAACACCUGCUUUUACAAUAAUGUUAGUCAUUAAAAGCUAUUCAUAAGAAGAAGAGACAAACAAAAGCCCUUCUCUUCCCCUUGGUUGCUCGAAGCAUCAUUGAUGGGACUUUCCUCCUCAGCUGCACAGGUGUGGGGUGGCUGGGGAUGCGCUCACUGGUAAUAGACACAGACGGUCGUGUAAAGUUGCCAUUAAAACCCACAUGCUGUGCGCUCCAGGACAGCCAGGGCUAUACUGAGAAACCCUGUCUCAAAAACAAAAUACUCAAAACAACAAAAACAAAACAGUAACAACAACAACAACAAAAACUCCCAAACCAACCAAACAAAACCCCUGACAUGCUUUGGUGGCUUUCACACUGUAUGAAGGAAAGCAAAUGAACUCUUCUAAGAUCUUUCUUGUCUUCCAGUCUGAGAGCUGAGAGGGCUGACAGGUGACUCUACUAUCUGCUUUCUGCCAUGGGAUUUCACCCACAAACAAUUACAUAUACUAAAUCAGAGAGUUUAAGUCAAGAAUAUUGUAAACAUUGUUAAGCACGCUGGAUCUAGAAUCUUUCAAUGACAAGACUGCUUUUCACUGAAUAUAAAGAGAACACGUUUGUCAUGAAUCUAAAUUUAUAUGAAUUAAGUUUUACAAAAAGGUGCAUAUGGUGUAUACCUUUAAUCCCAGCAUGGAAGGGAAAGACAGGUGGAACCCUGAGUUCCAGAAACCCUGUCUCCAAAAAGCAAAACAAAAACAAACAAACAAAUGAACAACGAACCUCCCCCAACCCCCCAAAAAACCUUUUGCACAAAUGUUCCUAAAGCCCACUUCCUCUCUGCUAUAGAAGGAUCGGUGCCUCUGUUCCCCAUUUAUGAAUUACAGAGUUUUGGGAUUCUCAAUCAUACAGGCAGGCAGAAGGGGGCUGAUCACCACUCACUGUGUCUGGUGCGCUCUUGGAAGUGGCUCUUCUCAGCUACGGCCACGCUUAUUAAUUGACUGGUCCUAAGAUGAAGCCCACUGCUUUAUAAAAAUAUUGUUGCCACAGCAAUUCUGGCUGGAGAGAACUGGAGGACAGCCUCACGGGGAGCUGCAGCACAAAGGCUCUGCAGAAGUGUGUGGUGAUGAGAGCAGCUUGUUUCUCUCCACCAGCGUGUCUACCUUUCAACAGCACUCGCCUAGCACACACACAGCCCUGGGUCAGCACACAGGAAGGGCGAUGACACUGUCUUUAGAAUAUAGGCCAUCCGUCCUUUGCAUCCCCAAGAACUCAAACCUUCUCCUGCUUCUGUACUAAGCUGUCAAGAAUAAAAGCCUCCCAUGCAGCACAAUCAAAUACAGGGUUCAAAAGCAUGAAGCCUCUGCAUGCAGCCACAUCAUGCCCAAAAUGUAAACAGAAAUUCUAUCUUCAUUAUGGCUAGGUUUUAAUACAAUAAAAUAAAAAAAGGUGUGACAACAAAAACUGAAAGAAAAAUGACUUUGUCUCAGCUCUGAGUCUUGAAGAGGAUUAGCUCAUGUAAACACUGUCUUGUCAGAGAUACUAGGUUACAGACCCAGCUUCCCUUCACCCUCAGAACCGUCAAUCUGUGCUGCAGCUGUGGCCGGGAGCCCCACUUACAGCCCUGCAAGGGCAAAGCUGGCUGCACCUACUGCUCUCUCUGUGACAGAGAGGCCUGAUGUUUAUCAUUAAGAUAUUUACCAUUGAUAUAGCUAGCAGUUUAAAAUUAAUGUAGACACAUGUUUUUGGAACAUUUUCCCAAAAGCCAACACUACCUGUCUCCAUCCCCCCAGGUAAACUGGAUCCUGCUAUGUGGGGGUGUCAGGUAAUAAGACGGGGUGGCAGUAAUAUUCCUGACGAACUACUCAAAGGAGCAUGGCGACCUCUGCUCCAUGAUUAUGCAGUUUCUUUAGAUGAGAUAUUGGCAUUUUUGAUCCUGGCUUGUAACAGAAUCAAUAAUUUAAAAUACUGCACAUAUUUUGAAGUAUGAAAUUUAAAAACAUGAUUGAGCUUGAGUGGCUUUGGGUGAGAAAUGAGGGGUGCCCCAGCAUACCUCCACACUCCCAGCAGGCUCCCUCAGCACAGGCCCACACCUGUCUGUCUAACAUCCCCUUCCUGCCUAAUCCACUCAGUGGCUUCCGAGGGGGUGGGACUAGGACUCCAACUGUGAAAACGAACAUGUCACCCAGACAGAGAAGGAAUAAACUUGUGACUGCAGUGUGCCUGCAGCUCCAGAGUCCUUGUCUUAAUGGAACGUAAAAACUAUACAAUCAGUAUUCCAAUCCUACCAUCAGGCUAAGGUUAAACUGUUAUGUACAACCAAUAAAAAAUAAAGUGACACGUGGUACUGGAGAAGUGACAGUAGUCACGGAGGGUAGUUUUCUAAUGUAAACAGCAGCUAAAGCAUUAGUUCUAACUGCCAAGUUAAGACUAUAGAAAGAAUGUAUGCAUACAGUUAUUUUUUAAAAUAAAAAGUAUGAAGCUUUUCUUCUGUCUAAGUGUGUCUUAGACGGUUUACUUCGAUGGUGAGAAUGAGAACUUUGAGGGAAAGCAGAAAGAGGAAUCCCCCAGAGUUAAUGAACAGUACGCCUACAACUUGUUCUUUUUUUUGUUUUGUUUUUGUUUU
rnacentral:lncRNA from 1 species